rnacentral:rRNA from 1 species
ACAGCAGUCGCCACGGGAACACGGAGGGUGCAAGCGUUAAUCGGAAUUACUGGGCGUAAAGCGCACGCAGGCGGUCUGACAAGUCAGAUGUGAAAUCCCCGGGCUUAACCUGGGAACUGCAUUUGAAACUGUCAGGCUGGAGUCUUGUAGAGGGGGGUGGAAUUCCAGGUGUAGCGGUGAAAUGCGUAGAGAUCUGGAGGAAUACCGGUGGCGAAGGCGGCCCCCUGGACAAAGACUGACGCUCAGGUGCGAAAGCGUGGGGAGCAAACAGGAUUAGAUACCCCGGUAGUCCCUGUCUCUUAUAC